AAUUUAAAACUGACCAAAACAUCAUUUGAGGUGUCGGAUGGGAGGGUCCAGUGGGCGUCGUAGCGGAUACCAUUGGAUAAAUACGGAUUACUGUGACACUGUGUACUAUUAAAGAUAUUGUGAACAUUAAUGGAUUACAACGAACACUUGUGGAUUAUUAUGAACAUUUGUGGAUAAAAUGUACCUCGCGAUCGACGGUUACCUACCAAUGUACCUAAACAACGAAAGCUACACGACGGCAACGAGAUGACUGCCUCAAGGUUAGAUGGUUUAGUCUGAUAACAGGCAGUUGUUAGCUUGUUAUCAGGCAGUAGUGAGCCUGCUAUCAGGCAGUAGUUAGCCUGCUAACAGGCAGUAUAUCUGUAGGAUUCAUAUCCAAGACUCUAAUUUGCAUGUGGUCGGUGAAGUCUCUGGGUUAACCGGUUUAAAAUUCCUGGCGGUCUGUCGUUAGUAGUACAUUUGCACGCAAGGUUGAUUUUUAUUCAGAUGUUUGCAUGCUAAUAAAAAUUGAGGAACAAUUUUGACCUCAAUUAAUCAGAAUUUCGACAUCAUCUGCAAUCGAAAGUCAAUCUUAAAGAGGUUAACAUUUGAGCUUUCGGUCACGUGGUUCGUUGCAUGCACUCGGUUCGGUUAUUGGUGGGUUUCAGUAAGUGUUGCAAUCCAAACGAUGGUCAACAUAAAAAAAUAUUGGCACUUCCUGGAGCAAUUUAUUUGUUUCAAAUACAAGACUACUACAUAAAAUGAAAAAGAGUGAAGAUUAUUUUUUCACUCUAGUAACUCGUACUGAGACCCACUAGCUAUUUGCGGUCUGUUCGUGCCAAUGUUCGUCUCUAUUGUGUAAAUGUACUGCUUAGGUGUCUCCGUGUCUGUGCAUGGAUAAACGCAGCGCGCAGCUAGUAUCCAGAGUAUAGGCAAACGAGUAAAACCUUGUCAGACUUUAAAUUUUUGUUUAUAUCGAUACGUUACGUUCAUAAAUGUAUAGAAAUAUCAUGAAAUGUGUUGGGCUUGGGCUUGGGGUUAAAUCUAACCCUAUAACCUUAACCUUAAUCCAUUACAUGAUCUGUAUAUUUGUGUACGUAAUAUAUAUGGGUGUAGCCAAAAUUUUGUUGAAAAGCUGGCAUAAUUUUUCUUGGGUAGGAUAACUAAACUGGGUGCAAAUGGUAUCCAUAGCUUAGAGGGUGCAAAUGGUACCCGUAAGAAGAUUGGUGGAUAUUCUUGGACAAGAUUUACCGGGUACUCCGGUUUCCAACUACAAAAAGAUCAGCUUAGGACUUUAAUGACAUAAUUAUUGUAAUGAUAAAUAGUCUAGGCUUUAGUGAAUAAUAAAUUGUCGUGGAAAGGUGUAUCUUUCAUCGCCCGUAGUGCAUGUAUAUCGCUGGUUUCGAACGUUAGUUUUCUGCCCCGAGUUAUAUGAAAACAGUUCGCUACCAGAGAUUAGGUCCCCUCUCUGUUAUGGCGUCUCGACGAUGCCGGAAGACAUUACCAUAAGGCAUGCAAACCUUACCCCUGUUUGUGGAAGCUCACCAGGUGCAACCGGCACACUAGGUUAAGUUAAGUUAAGCUAGGGGCAUGACCGAGACUACACAUUCGGGGGUUUCCCUUGCAGGUUUUUGAAAGGGUAUGUGCGCGCGCGCACUAGUUAGGGAGGUUAGGCAGCUAGAAAUAAGGCGUGCGUACUAUAAGGCAUGUUUAUACUGUAAUUCAUUAUCGUCAAACUUUUGCGCCAGUAACUUUCUGAGAAGUAUUUAACACAACAGGAAAAUGGAAUCUAUUUUCCUGCUGAAACGUACUUACAGACCCAAUUCAAAGUGGAAAAAAAAGAGAUAUUGCGAAAAAGAGAAAAGUAAAAAAGAAAACAGCGAAGCCACUUUGAAUUUAAGCCACACUAGUCCAAGAAUACUCGUUGCAGAAAAACAACAACAAAAAAGAAACCAUUUUCUGCCUAAAAUAUCUUGAAUUAGGGGCUUAACGAUAAGAAACGCAGUUCUCGCUCCAAAGUGGAGAUAGGCUCGUUUCUUUAGGUUGCUAAAGCAUUGCGCGCGCGCGCUUUAUAAAUCGUAGUAUAAGUACUCAGUUGAAACGACCGCCAGGAAAAAUAGGGUGUUUUCACGUGUUGCUUUGACGGACAAGUAUUAUAAAAUAAUGGUUUCUGGUUUACUUGUAUUUCGGUACUUUAACUUGUUCCCAAACAUUGCCGCCGUGAAAACACUCUGCAGAUCAAGGUUAUAUAUGGUCGCAAUAGCAAUAUAGAAUGUUUGCCAUGUUUCAUUCCGUGUUGUCUUGCAUUGUUCGUAUAUGAACUUGGUCGAACCAUGGAUCAUAAAAACACCAUGGUCGCGCGCAGUAAUUAACUUGACAUAAGCGACGCGCGCGUCGUGCUGCUGUAAUGCGGAGUACAGUCGGUGAGUGUACUCCAUGUGCAAAUAGUGACGUGUGCUCUAUAUAGUCUUGACUUGAAAAACAAAUUAAGGUGCAUGUUGAUCAGAAUAAAGUGCGCAAAGUUUCAUGAAAAAUAAAAUUAAAUGCGCCCAGUUGCAUGCUUAGUAAAAUCAAGGGCAUGAAAACCAGUGCAUGCUAAUUUAAAUUGAGUGCGCGCGUUGCAAUUUACUUGCGCGCGAUAAAAGCGAAAUGCGCAAAAAAUCUAAAUAUAGAAAUGCACACAUCACAUCUUCAAAAUGCAUCCAAGUGUCCUAACAGCUUUUACAAACUAUCGUAAAAUAUGUUGGGGCAUUGGAUUCAUUUGCCACGCACCUUGUCCUGAACAUAUCUGAAAUAUUUUCAAGUUUCAAGGUUAAGACAAAUAUAUCCUUAGUGGAACAAUUUGUUCAUAAAAAGAGAUGUAUUUGUCUUGCGCAAUCUGUAGACUGAAUUUUCGGGUGGUCUACAAUUUUUUUUUGAACAUCUCGUGACAUUUUUAUUUUUAUUUUUUUUUGCAAGAUUUUUACUUUUCUGGAUUUUGGUAGGUAUGGGUAGGUAUGGUAUAUACUAUUAUAGUUAAUUCGGUCACACAGGGUUGCCCCCGGGGUUUUCGGAAUCCGGACUCGUAAUCACCAAGGUUUUUCACCAGAUCCUCUGGUUUUCCUCGGGUGAUUACGUAUUUUUUCGUUUGGCAAAAUAUCUAAAAAUUCCAAAA